rnacentral:misc_RNA from 1 species
GGAAGGAUCAUUAACAAAUCUGCUGCCGUGUGUUUAACGACACCGGCACAUUAACCCGAACCGGGCUCACGCUUUGGUUUCUGGUGUCGACCUCGGUCGAAAAACACCUGCCUAGUAGUGCAAAUAUGUGAUGGGAUGGGCCUUUGUGGUUCGUUCGUUCAUAAUUACGCUGCUAGCGGGACAUUUACGCUUGUAUGUUUGACAGAGUUAAUAAUGUUGGCAAUAAAAUCAUAUACAACUUUUAACAAUGGAUCUCUUGGCUCUUGCAACGAUGAAGAACGCAGUGAAAUGCGAAAUGUAAUGCGAUUUGCAUGAAUCUGUGAGUCAUCAAAUCUUUGAACGCAACUGGCACUCUCUGGGUAACUGGAGAGUAUACCUGUUUGAGAAUCUUAUCUAACCAUUGACACUAGUUUGUGUCAGAUGUGAGAGUUCAGGAGGGACCCCAAGUAUGGGGAUACCUUUUGUCUCUUUAAGUGUAGUAGGACCCGACUGGGCAAAGGUCCGGACAUUGUGUGAUAGAGACAUUUAAUGUCUACAUUCACAAUCAGUCUGGUCCAGAAACUCGGUCAUUCAGGUUCUUUCACAGUGGGGGGUGUUAAAAGCUCCCUACAACUACCAAUUUUAUUGAUCUCAAAUCAGGCAAGACUACCCGCUGAACUUAAGCAUAUCAGUAAGCGGAGGAAAAGAAACUAACAAGGAUUCCCUCAGUAACGGCGAGUGAAGUGGGAAUAGCUCAAAUUUUAAAUCUGGGAGGUUUCCUCUCCGAAUUGUAAUCUAAAGAAACGUUUUCUGGGCUUGAUUGGGUGUCCAAGUCCCUUGGAAUAGGGCGUCAAAGAGGGUGAGAACCCCGUCUGGGCACAUGAUCAAGAACUAUAUGAUACGUUUUCCAAGAGUCGUGUUGCUUGGGAAUGCAGCACAAAAUGGGUGGUAAUUUCAUCUAAGGCUAAAUACAGGCAAGAGACCGAUAGUGAACAAGUACCGUGAGGGAAAGAUGAAAAGCACCUUGAAAAGGGAGUUAAAUAGAGCGUGAAAUUGUUAAAAGGGAAACGAUUGAGACCAGUAUUGCUGGUAACUGCUCAGCAUUUAGCAAUGGGCCCGGGUCAAUUCAAGAGGACAGAUCGUUCCUUGGGUUGGUCAUGGGGACAACAUUGAUGGGUGUGCAUUCAGUUAUUAGCGAGUCAGCAUCAGUUUGGGGUACUAGAUAAAGGUCAGAGGAAGGUGAUGUCGUCCUUCGGGGUGGCAUUUUAUAGACUUUGACUCGGAUAGUAGCCUAGACUGAGGAGUUGCAGUUGGGUUCACCACUGGCUGAAUCCUUGCUCCAGGAUGGUAGACAGCAUGCUGACUACCGUAGCAAGGUAAGGGAGAGGUUAGUGCGCCUGAUGUUAGGAUGUUGACGAAAUGGUCUUAAACGACCCGUCUUGAAACACGGACCAAGGAGUCUAACAUAUAUGCGAGUAUUUGAGUGGCAAACUCGAGUGCGUAAUGAAAGUGACAAUGUGGGAACCCUCCUUCGGGGGUGGUGCACCACAGACCGACCUUGAUAUCUAUUGAUAGGUUCGAGUAAGAGCAUAUCUGUUGGGACCCGAAAGGUGGUGAACUAUGCCUGGAUAGGAUGAAGCCAGAGGAAACUCUGGUGGAGGUCCGUAGCCGUUCUGACGUGCAAAUCGAUGGUCAAAUCUGGGUAUAGGGGCGAAAGACUAAUCGAACCACCUAGUAGCUGGUUCCCUC